AUGCAAAGAGGCCGAGUUUGAU
rnacentral:siRNA from 1 species